AGCGAUGGUCCUCGGUUUGAUCUCCGAUAGCGGGCU
rnacentral:tRNA from 1 species